rnacentral:tRNA from 1 species
GCCUGGGUGGCUCAGUCGGUUAAGCGUCUGACUUCAGCUCAGGUCAUGAUCUCACAGUUUGUGAGUUCGAGCCCCACAUCGGGCU